rnacentral:rRNA from 1 species
GACGAACGCUGGCGGCGUGCUUAACACAUGCAAGUCGAACGGAAAGGCCCUGCUUUUGUGGGGUGCUCGAGUGGCGAACGGGUGAGUAACACGUGAGUAACCUGCCCUUGACUUUGGGAUAACUUCAGGAAACUGGGGCUAAUACCGGAUAGGAGCUCCUGCUGCAUGGUGGGGGUUGGAAAGUUUCGGCGGUUGGGGAUAGGCUCGCGGCUUAUCAGCUUGUUGGUGGGGUAGUGGCUUACCAAGGCUUUGACGGGUAGCCGGCCUGAGAGGGUGACCGGCCACAAUGGGACUGAGAUAGGGCGCAGACGCCUACGGGAGGCAGCAGUGGGGAAUAUUGCACAAUGGGCGGAAGCCUGAUGCAGCAACGCCGCGUGCGGGAUGACGGCCUUCGGGUUGUAAACCGCUUUCGCCUGUGACGAAGCGUGAGUGACGGUAAUGGGUAAAGAAGCACCGGCUAACUACGUG